UUAAUUUGCAUCAAUUACAUUACUGAAAUAUUUGCUCAUUUUCAUCAGCAUCAAUUUAACUAAAAUAUAUAAAUGUAGUAUCAGUAAUAAGUAAUACUGUUUUGUUUUCUCCGCCAAAUUGAGAAGUGAAAUUUAGCAAAGUGUUGCUCUCGACAAACCCACCGCCUGAGAAGCAAAUAGCGUCUACCAUCAGAUUGCUUCUCACGAUCCUAGGAUUAAAAGUGAGUCUAUAUUGAUUUUUUUAUUUUUUUUUGUUUAAAAUAACUUAUUCGUUUUCAAGAGUGGCCACGUAGUAUUCACAUCGUUCAUGGUUUUCUUUUUCAAUACAGAGAAUGUAUGUAUAUUUUGAUUAAAAAGUGUGAAACCUAUAAAUGAUGUAUAUUCACAUCAGUUACGAUAAAUGAUGAAAGUAAUUGCAUCAUUCGCUACAACUGUUAUAAAGUAUUAGAGUCAUCAUUUCCGGAGUCACUUAUAUUGUUGAUGUAAAUUCAUUCUUGUCAAUCAAAAAAUGAUAUUAACAAAAUCUAUAAAUGAUACACCAAGUCA
rnacentral:lncRNA from 1 species